ensembl:lncRNA
AUGCCAAUCACGCUGCAAACAUAUCAAAAGGUAGUUUUCCAACACACCUCUGAUUUCUGUCCAACAGCUCAGUCAGUACCUUUCCUGCCAGGGUUUGAGUUUCCAGAAAUUGAUGGUGCAGCUGUUGAGGAUACCUGCAGGAUCUUUGUUAUCCCCACAUCUGAAGCUCCCACGACUACGUCUACAACCCAUCCACCAACAACAACUGCAACUUCCAUGACCAGGAAGCCAGUGGUCACAACGACCCAAAAGCCAACUGUCCAGUCAUCACCAUGGAAACCAGCAACCAACGCACCAAUCACAACACAACCAUUUUUAAAAGAACCAAUCACCAACCAGCAUAACACAGCGGUCCAAAACCUGCUCUACUACUUGCUGGCCAAUAGGGGGCAACCUGUGGCUACUUCUCAGCCAAUGGGAGACCUCGGAGUGUCAUCCAGCAGCGAUGAAUCAGCAGCAGUCUGGAGAGUCAGCUCCGUUUCCUCUGACGAAUCCAGUGAUGAGUCCUAGAUUUAAAUUAUCAGUACAUUUUAGACUCAGUUAUUUUGUGGAAUAAAUUUAGAUGCACUUUGUGUGUUUGAAUGCAAAAAUAAAAAAGAUUUCAAAGAAUCUUUAUUCCUGAUAUUUUUCAAAGAUAUUUGCAUCAUGUUACGAAUUUGAUGUAACCAAAUUUAAAACUGUUAUAAUACAUAUUAAGGACUUUAAACUGUCCAUGAACUAACUGUUCAGAUAAAAAGUACAAUUUGACACUAUAAAUCAGUAAAAAUCACACAAAACAUAAAACUUUGAUGUAGUUUUCAAUAUUUGUUAUAUUCACAACUUGAGAUUUUUUACUUUAACAAAGGUUUUUCUUUCAUUUUUGUGGUGUGUUUGUGUUGAUGUUAGGUCCUUGUUGCUGUUGGACGUCUGACACCAAACUCGAUGAAACUGGGUUUGUCUCUUUCCUCACGUUUCUGAUAGAAGCUUUGUUGGGUUUACCUGAGAAAACACCAAAACAAAAAUAUUUUAAUCAUGUUUUGUUAAGCAGGUUUUGCUUCAGAAUCACAAAUAUUACCUUAUGAUUGUCAAAAUAAAUGAUUGAUGACCUUUUGGAUAUUUGACUUACGUCAUUGAACAGGAUCAGAUAGUUACAUUGAAACAUUUUUAGGUCCUUUUAAAACUUGUUUUGUGCUCAAAUUUUAUGCGCGUAACCCAUCUAGACCUCAGUAUUUAGCCAGUGUGUGGUUUGUUUGUACUUUGUGAGUAAUACAGCAAAGACAACACAGGUACAUUUAAGUAAUAUUUCCCUACUAGGUAUGCUCCAUAUUGGCAUAUUGCUUUUUUACUGAUAUCCAGUAUCCGAUAUUGCUAAACUCUUAAUUUCCGAUACCAAUAUAAACUGAUAAAUGCGGGUGGGCGGGCUCCCCCCCCCCCCCCCCACCAACAGCUACGGGGGGGGGGCUGCCGCUCCUGCACCCCCCCAUGAAAUAGAAAAAAAUAAAUGAUUUAGGUUGCUAACAUCAGAGCAGUUUCUUGCUAUAUGCCGACUACGCAUAGGCAACAUAUGGCUACUAGGGCCCCCCCUAAGUCUUCAUCCUUGCAUGAGGAUCAAAAUAAUUUGCCUAUAUUAUUUAAAUGAUUAGAAAUACCUUAUUAGUAUAUAACAGAAAAAUAAGCCGCAGUAAGAUAACCGUUGUCUCUUUUGUGGCACAUUUAACCCAAAAUCGCUAGUUUCAGCUCCACUGUGUCACAUGUUGGACGUCCAUGGGAAGGCCAUCCGCAGUUGGGCAGUGUUGUUCCUUAAAUCAUUCACUGAAGUAACGUUCGUGAACUUGUUUGUUUUUUGUGAACGUGAACUAAACUCCUCCUUGAACCGUCAACUUAUCGUGGUGGAGGAGUUUGAGUGCCCUAAUGAUCCCACGAGCUAUGUUGACUGGGGCACUUUGUACCCCUGGUAGGGUCUCCCAUGACAAAUUGGUCUUAGGUGAAGGGUGAGACAAAG